rnacentral:rRNA from 1 species
AUGGGCUGCCUGGCCCACGCAGCGGAUGGCGGUGGUUCGAGCAACUCCUCGACGCAGGGGAAAAGAUUGGCGGCGCUGGAGUUCGCCGGAACGGGCAGGCGGCCGGUGGGUGACGCGAGGCCGCGGCGCCGGCGCGAGGAAGACGAGCGGAUCCGGCUGCUGCUGGCGCGGCGGCUUGCUCCGGUGGCGGCGGCGUCCUGCUCAUCCGUAGAAAGAGAGACAGGGCGUGAGGGAGAGAGGAAGAAAGGAGAGGGAGAAGGGGGCGCAGGGUCAGGGAGGCGGUCGAUAGCGGUGGCGGCUCCGGCGACCGGCCGACGGGCUUGCCAGACUAGACAGCAGACCAAGGCCAUGGAUCGGUUGAUUCAACAGGGAAGGAAGAGACAGCAGAUUAUAAAACGAGCUUGGGGAUUAAUUGUCCUGAAACUUAAACAGGGCCGCCCUGAUGAUGGACUCAAGCUCCAGAAUCAAGACAUGCCACUGUAG